UAGGGAAUCUUCGGCAAUGGACGAAAGUCUGACCGAGCAACGCCGCGUGAGUGAAGAAGGUUUUCGGAUAGUAAAACUCUGUUGUUAGAGAAGAAAAAGGACGUAAGUAACUGAACGUCCCCUGACGGUAUAUAACCAGAAAGCCAAGGCUAAUUACGUGACAGCAGCCGCGGUAAUACGUAGGUGGCAAGCGUUGUCCGGAUUUAUUGGGCGUAAAGCGAGCGCAGGCGGUUUCUUAAGUCUGAUGUGAAAGCCCCCGGCUCAACAGUGGAGGGUCCUUUGAAACUGGCUGUCUUGAGUGCAGAAGAAGAGGGUGGAAUUCCAUGUGUAGCGGUGAAAUGCGUAGAUAUAUGAAGGAACACCAGUGGCGAAGGCGGCUCUCUGGUCUGUAACUGACGCUGAGGCUCGAAAGCGUGGGGAUCAAACAGG
rnacentral:rRNA from 1 species